GUCCAGACUCCUACGGGAGGCAGCAGUGGGGAAUAUUGCACAAUGGGGGGAACCCUGAUGCAGCGACGCCGCGUGGGCGAGGAAGUAUUUCGGUAUGUAAAGCCCUAUCGGCAGGGAAGAAGAAAUGACGGUACCUGAAUAAGAAGCACCGGCUAAAUACGUGCCAGCAGCCGCGGUAAUACGUAUGGUGCAAGCGUUAUCCGGAUUUACUGGGUGUAAAGGGGGCGCAGACGGCAGCGCAAGCCAGGAGUGAAAGCCCGGGGCCCAACCCCGGGACUGCUCUUGGAACUGCGCGGCUGGAGUGCAGGAGGGGCAGGCGGAAUUCCUGGUGUAGCGGUGAAAUGCGUAGAUAUCAGGAGGAACACCGGUGGCGAAGGCGGCCUGCUGGACUGCGACUGACGUUGAGGCCCGAAAGCGUGGGGAGCAAACAGGAUUAGAUACCCCAGUAC
rnacentral:rRNA from 1 species